UACGUAGGAUGCAAGCGUUGUUCGGAAUUACUGGGCUUAAAGGGUGCGUAGGCGGCCAAUUAAGUAGGGUGUGAAAGGCUUCGGCUCAACCGGAGCAUUGCGCUCUAGACUGAUUGGCUCGAGUGAGAUAGGGGUGUGCGGAACUUCCAGUGGAGCGGUGAAAUGUGUUGAUAUUGGAAGGAACGCCGGUGGCGAAAGCGGCACACUGGGUCUUAACUGACGCUGAGGCACGAAAGCCAGGGGAGCGAACGGG
rnacentral:rRNA from 1 species